GACGUAGGGCGCGAGCGUUGUCCGGAUUUAUUGGGCGUAAAGAGCUCGUAGGUGGUUUGUCGCGUUGUUCGUGAAAACUCACAGCUUAACUGUGGGCGUGCGGGCGAUACGGGCAGACUGGAGUACUGCAGGGGAGACUGGAAUUCCUGGUGUAGCGGUGGAAUGCGCAGAUAUCAGGAGGAACACCGAUGGCGAAGGCAGGUCUCUGGGCCAUUACUGACGCUGAGAAGCGAAAGCAUGGGGAGCGAACAGG
rnacentral:rRNA from 1 species